rnacentral:lncRNA from 1 species
CUCAUGAUUGAUAUAUGUACAUAUGUUCAAAGUAGUAAGUUUAUUUCAAAGUUACCAGGUUCGAGUUUGGUGGAAGAUUGCUGCUGUAAGUGAUAAGGGUCCUUGCUGGAUAAGUCAGUCAGAGAUAAAAGUCCCAAAGCUUGUGAAAUCCUUACAACAAUAGGAGCUGUCACACCUCCUUUUUAUACCCCGAGAGGGGAUAAGAGAGUUUUUCCACUUUAAGUGACAUUAUUCGAAAUGAGAUUAAUUAUUCAAUUUAGAGUCACCGCUUGGGAUAGUUUAUUUAUGUCCCAAGUUACCGAUUUAUUUUAAAUCCCAAAUCGAGGAAAAUUUCGACUUUCCUUUUGAAGUCUACAAGCCAGAAAUUCUGAAUAAGGAAUUUUGUUAACCCGAGAAAGGGUGUUAGGAACUCCUGGAUUCCGUGGUUCUAGCAUAGUCGCCUAAACCGUCAUGAUUUUGAUAUAUGUUUUAGCCUAUGGUAUAAUUUUAAAUUAUUAGCCGUUUUUAAUUAAUUUUAUAAAGAUUCAACGUUAUCUAA